UGCUUUAUCUUUUGUGUUUGUUCAUUGCUUGACAGUUUUUCUUUUCUUUCCUAGCUAAUCCAACUGGAUAGUCUCAGUGCUUGCUGGAAUGUGAACUGCCGUCUGUCCUACCAGGGGUCCCGAGAACAGAUCUUGGAUCAACUGAAAAAUGAAAUUCUUACCAAGUAGACAGAGACCUCCAAACCAUCAAUACAUUUUCCAGCCAAUAUCAGCCUCUGCAAAACUCUACAUGAAUCCUCAUGCAGAAGUAGAACUCAAAACUCCCAAAUUAGAUUGGAGCAUAGAAGUGCAGAAUAUUGCCAUUGAGCUGACCAAGCCCCAGUACUUAAGUAUGAUUGACCUUUUGGAAUCAUUGGAUUAUAUGGUUAGAAAUGUACGUUAUAGGAAAUAUAAACCUAAUUUACCGCUUCAUACCAAUUGUAGGCAAUGGUGGAAGUAUGCCAUUGAUUCAGUUCUUGAAGUUCAUAUAAGAAGAUGUACACAGAUGUGGUCAUGGUGUAACAUAAAGAAGCAUAGAGAGUUACUCAAGAGUUAUAAAAUCGCUUACAAGAAUAAGCUAACUCAGACUAAACUCUCGGAAGAAAUCCAGAAACAAAUUCAGGACCUGGAGAAGACUUUAGAUGUUUUUAACAUAAUUUUAGCAAGGCAACAAGCACAAGUCGAGGUGAUUCGAUCUGGGCAGAAACUAAGGAAGAAAUCCACUGACACAGGGGAGAAACGGGGAGGCUGGUUUAGUGGGUUUUGGGGUAAGAAGGAGUCUAAGAAAAAAGAUGAAGAAUCAUUGAUUCCUGAAACUAUUGAUGAUCUUAUGACCCCUGAGGAGAAGGACAAACUCUUCACUGCUAUUGGUUACAGCGGGAGCAUGCAUAACUUGACUUUGCCCAAGAAGUAUGUUGCCUAUAUAAUGACCUUGAAGUUGGUAAGCACUUCUAUUGUAAUCAGAGAAAACAAAAAUAUUCCUGAAAUCCUAAAAAUCCAGAUCAUUGGCCUGGGCACCCAAGUAUGCCAGCGACCAGGAGCGCAAGCCCUUAAGGUAGAAGCAAAGUUAGAACACUGGUAUAUCACAGGUCUGAGACAGCAGGAUACUGUGCCAUCCCUUGUGGCUUCCAUUGGUGACACUGCAUCAUCCUUGCUUAAAAUUGAGUUUGAAACCAAUCCAGAGAACAGCCUUGCUGACCAGACGCUGACCGUCCAGUCCCAGCCCGUGGAGGUCAUCUACGAUGCUAAAACCAUCAAUGCAGUGGUUGAUUUCUUUCAGUCAAAUAGGGGAUUGGAUCUUGAGCAAAUAACAUCAGCUACUUUGAUGAAGCUGGAAGAAAUUAAAGAGAGAACAGCUACUGGACUUACACAUAUAAUUGAGACUCGAAAAGUUCUUGAUUUAAGGAUAAAUCUGAAGCCUUCUUAUCUAAUAGUUCCACAGACAGGCUUCCACCAUGAAAAGUCAAAUCUUCUCAUUUUAGAUUUUGGUACAUUUCAGCUCAACAGUAAAAGUCAAGGUCUACAGAAGACUACCAGUUCAUCUUUGGAAGAAAUAAUGGAUAAAGCAUAUGACAAGUUUGAUGUUGAAAUAAAGAGUGUGCAACUACUCUUUGCAAGAGCAGGGGAAAACUGGAAGAAGUGCCGUUUUCAGCACCCGUCCACUAUGCAUAUACUGCAGCCCAUGGAUAUUCAUGUGGAGCUAGGCAAGGCGAUGGUAGAGAAGGACACGAGAAUGGCCAGAUUUAAAGCAUCAGGAGGACUUCCUUUGAUGCAUGUGAGGAUUUCAGACCAGAAGAUGAAAGAUGUGCUGUGUUUGAUUAACAGUAUACCUUUGCCACAGAAAUCAUCAACUCAAUCUCCAGAGAGACAGGUAUCGUCAGUUCCUGUUGCUUCAAGUGGGACAAAAGUUCUCCUUGGUACUUCAUUAUUGCUGAGUGAAAUGGAUUCAGAGUCUGACGAUGAGUAUUUCGACGCUGAAGACGGUGCCUCCCAGGUGCCUAGAGGUGCGCCAGGCUCCGAACCCCGAAAGGCUGCGGAGGUUCCGAACGAGGCCCUCAUUAAUCUUCUGCUCAAGUUUGAAGUUAAAGAAAUUGUUCAUCUCGGGGUGCGGUGUUUACAGCUACAGAUCUGA
rnacentral:lncRNA from 1 species